rnacentral:rRNA from 1 species
UACAGAGGUGGCAAGCGUUGUUCGGAAUUACUGGGCGUAAAGGGCGCGUAGGCGGUCUUGUAAGUCUCGUGUGAAAUCCCUCGGCUUAACUGAGGAACUGCACGGGAUACUGCUUGACUUGAGUUCGGGAGAGGGAAGCGGAAUUCCGGGUGUAGCGGUGAAAUGCGUAGAUAUCCGGAGGAACACCGGUGGCGAAGGCGGCAUCCUGGACCAAUAUUGACGCUGAGGAGCGAAAGCCAGGGGAGCAAACGGG